AUUGAACGCUGGCGGCAUGCUUUACACAUGCAAGUCGAACGGUAACAGGCCGCAAGGUGCUGACGAGUGGCGAACGGGUGAGUAAUGCAUCGGAACGUGCCCAGUCGUGGGGGAUAACUACUCGAAAGAGUAGCUAAUACCGCAUACGAUCUAUGGAUGAAAGCGGGGGACCGGAAGGCCUCGCGCGAUUGGAGCGGCCGAUGUCAGAUUAGGUAGUUGGUGGGGUAAAGGCUCACCAAGCCAACGAUCUGUAGCUGGUCUGAGAGGACGACCAGCCACACUGGGACUGGGACACGGCCCAGACGCCUACGGGAGGCAGCAGUGGGGAAUUUUGGACAAAGGGCGCAAGCCUGAUCCAGCAAUGCCGCGUGCAGGAAGAAGGCCUUCGGGUUGUAAACUGCUUUUGUACGGAACGAAACGGCUCUGGUUAAUACCCGGGGCUAAUGACGGUACCGUAAGAAUAAGCACCGGCUAACUACGUG
rnacentral:rRNA from 1 species